rnacentral:lncRNA from 10 species
GAGACGCGGGUGUGCGAGACAGACGGCUGCAGCAGUGAGGCCAAGCUCCAGUGUCCCACUUGCAUCAAGCUGGGCAUCCAGGGCUCGUACUUCUGCUCGCAGCAACGUGGAAGGAACCAGAGGCUGUUAUUCUAAGUGAAGUAACUCUGGAAUGGAAAACCAAGUACCAGGUCGUCUCGCUUACAAGUAGGAGCUAAGCUGUGGGAAUGUUUUAAAGGAAGUUGGGCUACUCACAAGUUACUACAUAAGAAAGCAAAAGAUGAAAAGGCGAAGCGAGAAGUGUCUUCCUGGACUGUGGAAGGUGAUAUUAAUACUGACCCAUGGGCAGGUUAUCGAUAUACUGGUAAACUCAGACCACAUUAUCCACUGAUGCCAACAAGGCCAGUGCCAAGUUAUAUUCAAAGACCAGAUUAUGCUGAUCAUCCCUUAGAUAAUGAUACUGAGACACCCAGCGAAGAUAGGUAAUUUGCAACACAGGAAUGUCUGAAUCUGAACAGGCUCUUAAAGGUACUUCUCAGAUUAAAUUACUCUCAUCUGAAGAUAUAGAAGGGAUGCGACUUGUAUGUAGGCUUGCUAGAGAAGUUUUGGAUGUUGCUGCCGGCAUGAUUAAACCAGGUGUAACUACUGAAGAAAUAGAUCACGCUGUACACUUA